rnacentral:rRNA from 1 species
UACGUAGGUCCCGAGCGUUGUCCGGAUUUAUUGGGCGUAAAGCGAGCGCAGGUGGUUUAUUAAGUCUGGUGUAAAAGGCAGUGGCUCAACCAUUGUAUGCAUUGGAAACUGGUAGACUUGAGUGCAGGAGAGGAGAGUGGAAUUCCAUGUGUAGCGGUGAAAUGCGUAGAUAUAUGGAGGAACACCGGUGGCGAAAGCGGCUCUCUGGCCUGUACUGACGCUCAUGCACGAAAGCGUGGGGAGCAAACAGG